AGCUUUGCGCAGUGGCAGUAUCGUAGCCAAUGAGGUUUAUCCGAGGCGCGAUUAUUGCUAAUUGAAAACUUUUCACAUAGCACAUCAGUACUUCAUUCCUUUUUAUGGCUACAUAAUAUUUCUUUGUAUAUAAA
ensembl:snRNA U4 U4 spliceosomal RNA